GUGCUCACUUUGGCACAUAUAUACUAAAAUCAGAACAAUACAGAGAUUAGUAUGGCCCCUGCUCAAAGAUGACAAGAAAAUUCAUGUUUUU
ensembl:snRNA U6 U6 spliceosomal RNA